rnacentral:rRNA from 1 species
CCUACGGGAGGCAGCAGUGAGGCAUAUUGGUCAAUGGGCGCGAGCCUGAACCAGCCAAGUCGCGUGAGGGAGGACGGCCCUACGGGUUGUAAACCUCUUUUGCCGGGGAGCAACGGGCGUCACGUGUGGCGCCACUGAGAGUACCCGGAGAAAACGCAUCGGCUAACUCCGGGCCAGCAGCCGCGGUAAUACGGAGGAUGCGAGCGGUAUCCGGAUUUAUUGGGUUUAAAGGGUGCGUAGGCGGAUCGUUAAGUCAGUGGUCAAAUUGAGGGGCUCAACCCCUGCCCGCCAUUGAAACUGGCGUUCUUGAGUGGAAGAGAAGUAUGCGGAAUGCGUGGUGUAGCGGUGAAAUGCAUAGAUAUCACGCAGAACCCCGAUUGCGAAGGCAGCAUGCCGGCUUCCGACUGACGCUGAAGCACGAAAGCGUGGGGAUCGAACAGGAUUAGAUACCCUAGUAGUC